UCCAGAAGUUCACCAGCUGAUUCUUAGGUCAUACUUGGGUUUAGUUCCACUUGUGACCCAGCCCUUUGGGCCUGUAUUGUAGAAGAUGGAGACAGGCAGCUUCAGUAGGCUCCCUAUACUGUGUUGAUUAUUGCAGUCCUAAUUGUUCUGUGUGGAAAAUGUCAGUAUUGAAGGGGCUUGAACACCCGGAAGAGACAGUCGUGAUAUUUGUAGUGUUUACACACUGGUGAGAGCCUACAUACAGGGAUACUAUGUUCCAGGGGCCUGUGGUUUAAUGCUUGGAGGCUGUAGUAAAUCUUGUUACACAAAUACUUGGGUUACCUCUUGUGCAGGGUAUAAGAAUAUCCCUUAAAAAGAAAAAGACUCUUCAAAGGACUGAUGUCAGUUAUCAUCUGUUCAUCGAAUUUUGAUUUCUCGUGUUGUUAUCUUUAGAGCACUGGGUUAGCCCAUGCUUCUUGUUUUGGGUUGUUUUUUUUUAUAUGGUAGGUUGAUGUGAUGGAUGUGUGGUGGGUAUCCCUUCCUUUCACUGCUCCCUGAACUAGUCGGUUUAGGAUUCACUAGGCCCAGUUCUGUACACAUAGAAUUUGGCGUGCUUUUCAUAACUAAAAUAAAAGCAGUGCUGGAGUGUUUCUGAGUCAGCCGUGCAAAAAGUAAGUACAUCAGUAUGUUGGGUGUCAUCAGAACACAUUUAUUGGGAACUGAAACUCUUUAGGAUGAUUACAUUAUGAUACAGCUUGUAUUAUAUUGUAGCAUUUGGAUGUAGUUCACAUCCAGCUAGCAAGUGCCUUUGUGGGUGAAACAACUGCUGUUGGCAUCUACAGCUGUCAGUUCCCCUUCUGUGAACCCUGGGUGAGGAGUGCUGGGCUGCAGCUGCAGUAGGCUGCUUUCUGCCUUUUAGAGAAGUUCUUUUGAUGUUGGACAAGACAAAAGGCGACAACUCUUAUUUGAGGUUUAAAAAGGAAAAUACAACUUAUGUUUGAAUCCAGUGUGCUUGCUCUUGAUCCCUCUGUGUGUGUCCUGUCACUUUUAUUUUAGGUUUCUGCAAACAGUUCAUUUUCAUCCAGUUCAGGCAUGGCAGAUCUAUGAUGUGAGUGCCAAAAAUGCCAACUUCUUUUCUUCUCUUUGUUUGAAACUUUGCAGAAUCAGAGCAGCAAAAGUGUAGUUUUGUGAUUUGACAGCUUUUCAGUAUUCAUUUUUUGUCCUUGUUUUUUGUGGUUAACAUUAAGGGUCAGGCAUUGUCAUGCAGCACAACACAGUUGUUACUUCUUCAUUCCAUGCACAAGAAUAUUUGGCAAUUUGAUAUACUGAAAUGAAAAAAAAUGUUAGUAAGUUUUGACUGGUUUAGCAGUAAUGGGUGUUCCUGGAUGGUUUUGGUUUUGUCCUUAUUGCAGUUUACUGUUACUUAAGAUCUCUGAAUCUCUAGUCUGUAGUUUUGCUGUAUCCCACUUGACAACUUAUGGUCUAGAGCUGGAGCUUUUUUCUCCUUAUGUUGGUUGUAAAUGUUGAAGAAUGUAUCUUGCAUUGUAAUGAAGAGAUGAAAAUUCACUCAUGGUGGUGAGAAUACUGUAACUGGGUCAGAAUUUCAACUCUUGAACUCCAGACUAGAAGCCAAGCCAAAACUCUCUUGUGUUCUCAUGCAGGUGAUUCCUCCUCUUUGUUUCUUGAUUAAUCAUUAUUUGUGUUUUGUUUGUUUAGAUUGUAAGUUCUUUGUGGCAAGGGUUGUCUCUUGUGUGUGCGUGUGUGUGAGCGCGCGCAUGUGUAUGUGUGUACCCAGGACAGUAAGGUCUGGAGUCCAGUCUGUGGAAGCUGUAAUAAACAAUCACCUUGUUAUUGUUUUCCUGGAUAUUGUAAUAAAGAGUAUCAAAUUAAAA